rnacentral:tRNA from 1 species
UUAAUUGAAGCCAAAAAUAGAGGCAUAUCACUGUUAAUGAUAUCAUUGGGUUAUACCCCAAUUAAG